rnacentral:misc_RNA from 1 species
GCCCAAACUGGACCCUAGUUUACUGUUAUAAACAAUCUGCACUUCCGUUACUCUCUAAUGUCAAUUAAACUUUUCGUCAACGAUAGCCUCAACCUGUCACAUCUGAGUCGGUAGACGAGAAGCUGGAAAGUCGAUGGGCAACAGUUGGCUGUUAUUCGACCAGUUAUAGUACGUUGUUGUGGAGGACUAUGCCGAAUAUUCAAUAAUGAUAAUACUGACAGCCUUCGAAGAGAGUAUAAGGCUUAUAACGUAUACAUGGUGCACCGCGCCGGGCAACCACUCGAUUAAGACGACCAGAUGCUGGGGUGUACGUGUAGGAGACGUUCCAUGAAAACAUGGAUCUUAGGUUUUCUUUUCCUCGGCAUGUUGGGACUACUAUUCAACUAUAUAAACGUAGAACGACUUCACGAAAACAUAGCAUUUGGCAAGCUGGCCUCUGCGCCAUUUUUCUUGGGCGACAAACCCGGACAGCAUCUUGCUGCGUCAAUGGAAUCGGUUUAUAAGGAAGGAGUGACGGGCAACUUUGAACCUCCGGCGGAGGCGGUUGGCACAGGACCUGGUGAGGGCGGACGACCUGUGAAGGUUGAGAGAUCGGACUACUCGUCAAUGCGUGAUUAUGGCUGUGAUAUGUCAGUGAGUGACAGGAUAUCCCUGAAUCGCACGAUUCUUGACACCAGACCCAAGCAAUGCGUGUUCUGGCACUACCCGACCAAUCUGCCCAGUGCCUCUGUGGUGAUCGUUUUCUACAACGAAGGCAACACGACCCUCCUGAGGACUGUCCACAGCGUCAUUAACAGAUCCCCGUCCUCGCUCCUGAAGGAGGUGGUCCUUGUGGACGAUGCAAGCACAAUGGGUCAUCUUCAAAAACCACUAGAAUCCUACAUCCAGCGUUUCAACGGGUUGGUCAAAUUGUACCGAAACGAAGAAAGGCUGGGGCUCAUAGGUGCCCGGAUGAGGGGAGCAAGGGAGGCAACUGGAGAUGUCUUUAUAGUGCUUGAUUCUCACUGUGAAUGUAACGUGAACUGGUUACCGCCCUUGCUUCACAGGAUUGCACUUAACAGAUCGACGUUGGUACAACCGACCGUUGACGUCAUCAGCUACAAAGACUUCUCCUACAACAAUAUAUUCACCAAGAUGGUGAAGGGCGUGUUCGACUGGGGCCUUCUGUAUAAAGAGAUGUAUGCGUCUGAUAAGGAGCAAGCGGCCACAUGGAAACACAACUCAGAACCUUAUGGUACACCAACACACGCCGGUGGGCUGUUUGCUGUCGAUCGCAAACACUUCUUUGAUAUCGGAGGUUACGAUGACAACUUACUGGUGUGGGGAGGAGAAAACUUCCAGCUGUCUUUCAAGCAAUGGAUGUGUGGGGGUAGCAUGGAGAUGGUGCCCUGUUCGAGGGUAGGACACGUCUACCAUUCUACAAUGCCGUAUUCGCUCAAUAUUAAUAAAAAGAAGCCCAUCAAAAUGUCUAUUAUAAAACACAAUUAUCUACGUGUUGUGGAGGGGUGGAUGGAUGAGUACAAGGAAUAUUUCUACAUUCGUGAACCAAACGUACGACAACACGCACACGAGGUGAAUGUCACAGACCAGUUGGAACUCAGGAAGAGGCUGGGAUGUAGGAGCUUCAAAUGGUACUUGGACAAUGUAGCCUAUGGCAUUCUGGAAUAUUUUCCACUACCCCCACCAAACAAAGCGUGGGGAAAUAUCCAUGAGCGACAUGGAAGCCAGUGCCUAGCGAAAGGAUCCAGUUUAAUAAUCGGUUACUGUGGUGGCGGGGUGUUCAGAUACAAUACUGCAGGACAGAUAUCCACGGGGGAAUUCUGCCUGGUUUUCACAAAGCAAACAAAAGUAUUAACGUUUCCCAAAUGUCCUGAUGGAAGCAGUCAUCCUUGGGACUGGAAUCAGACCGCCGUCAUAUAGCUUGAGUGCGGCUUUCAACAAGAAAACAAACAAACAUUUAGCUGUAACACCACCACUGUACCAUGGCGUCCUGGCGACUACACACGGGAAGAGUGAGUGUGAGAAACAGGCUUAAUCCGUCACCCGGAGUUAAAUCAGUGCCUCACCAGUGCACCCGCAGUAUUUCUUUCAGACUGUGACAAUAACAAUCCCAAACAACAGUGGGAUAUGAAGGCGACGUGAUUGGAUGAACAAUAUGGC